AUUGAACGCUGGCGGCAGGCCUAACACAUGCGAGUCGAGCGGAUGAAGGGAGCUUGCUCCUGGAUUCAGCGGCGGACGGGUGAGUAAUGCCUAGGAAUCUGCCUGGUAGUGGGGGAUAACGUCCGGAAACGGGCGCUAAUACCGCAUACGUCCUGAGGGAGAAAGUGGGGGAUCUUCGGACCUCACGCUAUCAGAUGAGCCUAGGUCGGAUUAGCUAGUUGGUGGGGUAAAGGCCUACCAAGGCGACGAUCCGUAACUGGUCUGAGAGGAUGAUCAGUCACACUGGAACUGAGACACGGUCCAGACUCCUACGGGAGGCAGCAGUGGGGAAUAUUGGACAAUGGGCGAAAGCCUGAUCCAGCCAUGCCGCGUGUGUGAAGAAGGUCUUCGGAUUGUAAAGCACUUUAAGUUGGGAGGAAGGGCAGUAAGUUAACACCUUGCUGUUUUGACGUUACCAACAGAAUAAGCACCGGCUAACUUCGUG
rnacentral:rRNA from 1 species